rnacentral:rRNA from 1 species
GACGUAGGAUGCGAGCGUUGUCCGGAUUUAUUGGGCGUAAAGAGUUCGUAGGUGGUUUGUUAAGUCUGAUGUUAAAGACUGAGGCUCAACCUCGGAAAUGCAUUGGAUACUGGCAGACUUGAGUGUAGUAGAGGCAAGCGGACUUCCAGGUGUAGCGGUGAAAUGCGUAGAUAUCUGGAAGAACACCAGUGGCGUAAGCGGCUUGCUGGGCUAUAACUGACACUGAGGAACGAAAGCCAGGGUAGCGAAUGGGAUUAGAAACCCGGGUAGU